UAGAACAUGAAGGUAUUCAAAAUGUCAAAAUGUUCUAAAAAUUUAAUCCUCAAUCGAUUCCCUCAUUUUAGAAUUAAUCUACAGUCCUUAAGAUACUCAACAAGGACAUUUAUUCCAAAAGGAAUUUCCUUUCCUACUCUUCCCAAAAGUUUUGUUGCACUGUUGUGAUGUAGGGUACCUCAUUGUCAGAUUCUCCCAGCUUUAGCCUCCUUCAGGAAUUAUUAUUUGUUACCUAUAAUAUGGAUCUAUAGCAUGUACUAAAAAGAGCUAUUGUAAAUGUCAAUGAAUUCCUUCCGGAAAUUAUGGAAACGACUUCCAUUUUGGAACCCAAUCUCUUAUUAAUCGUCCAAUAUUUAUUUGCAUGCACCAUCAAUUGUAAUCGUUCAUUGACUUCAUAUUGCCGACAACAACAACUGGAACAGUUGUUUAAACACAAUAAUACCCUUUUGUAUUAAUAAUUAUUUCGAUUAAAUUUAUAUAAAACAAUCUACAUUUCAUCAAACCCAAAUUCAGUUAAAACUCAACGAAAUAGCGAUCAACAAUAUACACGAAUUUUUCUCAAAACGAAAUGGAUAAUUUCAAAUUAAAAUUAUUGAUUGGCGCUCUUUGCAGUUACCUUGACAUGACCUCAAGUGCCUACAUUCCACCAACGUUGGUAGUAACAACAAUUCCGGAACCCUGUCCGGAUCAUAUACUCAUAUUGGCCUAUUUGAUUAUCACGGCUGUUAUCAUAUUCGUCUCAUUGGAGAUAUUCUUGACAAUAAUAUCCAAAAGAAAUAAGCAAACUAAGGAGAUUCAAUAUACCUAAGGGAAAUUCUUUUAAUAUAGAUAUGCAAUUUUUAAAAUUAUAAAUGUUAUUAAGUUUAGUUUAAGAAAAUCUGUAAUUUACAUAGACUUUAAAUUGAAAUAUAUUUAGUUAUAACAAGUAA